rnacentral:RNase_P_RNA from 1 species
AAAGUAGACAAUUUUAUCGCGUUAAAAAUAAAAAAACUUUUUUUAAUGAGGAAAGUCCGGACACCAUUAGGGUAACACAUUGGGUAAUACCCGUCCAUCGUGAGAUGAGGAAUAGUGCAACAGAAAAAAAGUACAGUAAGGCUGUAGUGAAAUUGUGUAAACUCUGUGUUGUGAAAUGCCAUGUAUACCGGAUACUUUAAACUUUAAAAAAGUGUAGGAUUCCCUUUCACUAUUUAUUCGGGGGGUAGGCAGAUAGAGAUAAAAGGUAACUUUUAUCCCAGAUAAAUGAUAAAAAAAACAUAAAAAACAUAAUCCGGCUUAGAAGUUUACUUAAAUU